rnacentral:rRNA from 1 species
UACGUAGGGACCAAGCGUUGUUCGGAUUUACUGGGCGUAAAGGGCGCGUAGGCGGCUUUACAAGUCACUUGUGAAAUCUCCGGGCUUAACUCGGAACGGCCAAGUGAAACUGUCAUGCUAGAGUGCAGAAGGGGCAAUCGGAAUUCUUGGUGUAGCGGUGAAAUGCGUAGAUAUCAAGAGGAACACCUGAGGCGAAGACGGGUUGCUGGGCUGACACUGACGCUGAGGCGCGAAAGCCAGGGGAGCAAACGGG